UGCCUGUAACCUGGAGGCACCCUGGGGAAGAAGCGGGACCAUGGUGGGGCCCAGAUGGAAGGGGAUAGAGGAAGCUGGUUGUCAUGCAGAGCUGUGCCAAAGGCAAGAGAGAGUCUGAGGCCCACAGCUGGCCUGGCCUUUUUCACCAUGGCUAGAGGGUGGAUCAAUGUAGGCGUGGAAAAAGGAACAAGAGCAGGAGUGAGGUGUUAAUGGAGAGACAGAAAGGCAGAGGCAACCACCGAACAACUUAUUUGAAGAUGGCCAUUCAGAUACUUGAGGAGACAAAAGGCAUGGGGUGUGUUAGAAUUAAGCCACAGUGAUGGAAGAGAAAGAGAAAGAAGCAAUGUGGGGGACAGAUGGCGGUGUAAAGAAAGUCCAGAAACUUCCAUGAGGCCAAGAAGGAAUCCGUGAACAUACUUGCAGAGGAUUCACUGAAUAUACAGCUAUUCAUGGAUCAAUUUCCUCUGAGAGGAAUCCACAAACAAGCUGAGUGGCUCCUACACAAUGGGUGGCUGAGAAAAUACUCACCUUGAAACAGGUAAGAA